rnacentral:rRNA from 1 species
UACGUAGGGUGCAAGCGUUGUCCGGAAUUAUUGGGCGUAAAGAGCUCGUAGGCGGUCUGUCGCGUCUGCUGUGAAAACUCGGGGCUUAACCCCGGGUCUGCAUUCGAUACGGGUCUGCUGGGGUCCGGCAGGGGAGACUGGAAUUCCUGGUGUAGCGGUGAAAUGCGCAGAUAUCAGGAGGAACACCGGUGGGCGAAGGCGGGGUCUCUGGGCCGGUACCGACGCUGGAGGAGCGAAAGCGUUCGGGGAGCGAACAGG